AGUGAACGCUGGCGGUAGGCCUAACACAUGCAAGUCGAACGGCAGCACAGGAGAGCUUGCUCUCUGGGUGGCGAGUGGCGGACGGGUGAGGAAUACAUCGGAAUCUACUUUUUCGUGGGGGAUAACGUAGGGAAACUUACGCUAAUACCGCAUACGACCUACGGGUGAAAGCAGGGGAUCUUCGGACCUUGCGCGAUUGAAUGAGCCGAUGUCGGAUUAGCUAGUUGGCGGGGUAAAGGCCCACCAAGGCGACGAUCCGGAGCUGGUCUGAGAGGAUGAUCAGCCCAACUGGAACUGAGACACGGUCCAGACUCCUACGGGAGGCAGCAGUGGGGAAUAUUGGACAAUGGGCGCAAGCCUGAUCCAGCCAUACCGCGUGGGUGAAGAAGGCCUUCGGGUCGUAAAGCCCUUUUGUUGGGAAAGAAAUCCAGCUGGUUAAUACCCGGUUGGGAUGACGGUACCCAAAGAAUAAGCACCGGCUAACUUCGUGCCAGCCGCCGCCUAA
rnacentral:rRNA from 1 species